GGUCCUCUGGCGCAACGGUAGCGCGUUCGACUCCAGCGAAGGUGUCAUCGAAAGGUUAUCCGUUCAAAUCGGGUGGGGAUCA
rnacentral:tRNA from 1 species